rnacentral:rRNA from 1 species
CAGAAUCAACGCUGGCGGCGUGCCUAACACAUGCAAGUCGAACGAGAAAGCGGGGGCAACCCCGUGAGUAAAGUGGCGACCGGGUGAGUAACACGUGACUAACCUACCCUCUGGCGGGGAAUAACCUCGGGAAACCGGGGCUAAUACCGCAUAACAUCCGCGGGUGCAAUUCCUGCGGAUCAAAGGAGCAAUUCGCCGGAGGAGGGGGUCGCGGCUGAUUAGCUAGUUGGCGGGGUAACGGCCCACCAAGGCUUUGAUCAGUAGCCGGCCUGAGAGGGCGCACGGCCACACUGGAACUGAAACACGGUCCAGACUCCUACGGGAGGCAGCAGUGGGGAAUUUUGCGCAAUGGGGGAAACCCUGACGCAGCAACGCCGCGUGGAGGAUGAAGUCCCUUGGGACGUAAACUCCUUUCGACCGGGACGAAUAAUGACGGUACCGGUGGAAGAAGCCCCGGCUAACUUCGUGCCAGCAGCCGCGGUAAUACGAGGGGGGCGAGCGUUGUUCGGAAUUAUUGGGCGUAAAGGGCGCGUAGGCGGCGCGGUAAGUCUUCUGUGAAAUCCCCGGGCUCAACUCGGGGCCUGCAGAGGAAACUGCCGUGCUCGAGUGUGGGAGAGGCGAGUGGAAUUCCCGGUGUAGCGGUGAAAUGCGUAGAUAUCGGGAGGAGCACCAGUGGCGAAGGCGGCUCGCUGGACCACAACUGACGCUGAGGCGCGAAAGCUAGGGUAGCAAACAGGAUUAGAUACCUUGGUAGU